UAGGGAAUCUUCGGCAAUGGACGAAAGUCUGACCGAGCAACGCCGCGUGUGUGAAGAAGGUUUUCGGAUCGUAAAACUCUGUUGUUAGAGAAGAACAAGGACGUUAGUAACUGAACGUCCCCUGACGGUAUCCAACCAGAAAGCCACGGCUAACUACGUGCCAGCAGCCGCGGUAAUACGCAGGUGGCAAGCGUUGUCCGGAUUUAUUGGGCGUAAAGCGAGCGCAGGCGGUUUCUUAAGUCUGAUGUGAAAGCCCCCGGCUCAACCGGUGAGGGUCAUUGGAAUCUGUGAGUCUAGAGUGCAGAAGAGGAGUGUGGAAUUCCAUGUGUAGCGGUGAUAUGCAUAGAUAUAUGGAGGAACACCAGUGGCAAAGACGGCUCUCUGGUCUGUAACUGACGCUGAGGCUCGAAAGCGUGGGGAGCAAACAGG
rnacentral:rRNA from 1 species